CUAUUUUCACUGCCGACUCGCUUGCUAGACUCCUUUCUCCUCUCCAGUUCCCAGUUCUUCAUCCAGGCUUCAUUUUCUAAUCUCCACAGAUCCCAUCUCUUGCCUUUGCCUGUUGGUCUUUCUUUCUUCGCUCCGGUUAUAAAGAUUAGGGAGAUUAUAAAUCAAGAUCAGAGUGGUGAAAAAUCAAGACGGCAUUGCGGCAAUGUGCAGUCGCACAAAGAGUAGCAGACAGGAAGAAUGGACACUGGAAAGUGAAGACAGUUUCGAAUCGAUCAGUCGAAGCUUGAAGGAAGAAAGGGAAGCGCAAAGAAGAGUCUCAAACGGCGUCGAAGAAGGGUUUCUUGGAAUCAGACACACUCAUGACUGUCAUAGACGAAGCUCUGUAUCUCUCUUUUCUGUUGAGGCUUCAACUCCUCCAACUGCUACUUCUUUCUCAAAAUUCUUUAAGGGCUCGAAGGUCAUGAACUGGUGAAAUCAACAAACGGCAGCAAAAAAGAUGGUGAUGGUUUGGCAGAUCGAGGCAAAAAAUUGCGUCGCUUCUCUAGUAUGGUCAAGAUGCCACAACUCGUAUCAGGUUUCAGAAAAAAUUCUCGAGCUCUUCCUCUAAGCAUCUGAUACAAAAACAAGGCCAGUUUCCCUCACCUGUUGAUCCUUGAUGGGACAUUCUCUGAGGACAUAAUCUCCAAUGGUUUUUUAAUGGCUGCUUGAUCUUACUGCAAUAAUGGAAGCCUUUUCAAGGACUUCGUGAUAUCUCUUUCCAAUUCAGCUUCUCCACUCACUUUUGGUUCAGAUGAUGCGUUCACACUUAAUUCAGCACCCACUGGACAGACUUGGUGCUUGCGCGUACAAUAUGAAGACAAGUGAAUUUCUCUGUACUUGGACAGAUGUCCGUUGUUGAAAGCAUUAAUUGCCUCUCUCGAUGGAUGGUUCAGAUGCCUCUGAACGACAGAGUUAAGCAAGUUUUUAAUCUUCAAGUACAAUCAUCCGAUCUACCAUCUUCUUCUAACACAAGAGAGUUGUCUUCCUCAGGGCAGAAUCAAUUUAAGAUAUUAACAGCUUCUGUUUCAUUUUCUUCCUUUUGCUACCACGUCUACAAUUUGAUGAUGUCAUUCCCUUCAUCAGCACAAGGCACCCAAAUUUCGACAACCACACAUCAUAUAGCUUCCGUCUCCUGCCUCAGUUCUUCCUGAUCACCAUGCAUUUCCAGAAUUGGGUUUUGCAGCUGGUACUAGCAUGUCUCCUAUUGUACAGACUUUCACCCACGCAUGCAAACGGAAAUUGGCUCUGUUUUUGGCUAGCAAAACAGAUCAGAAGGAUGUUGGUUUUUGCGGAGUUUUAUCGAAAAACUCUGCACAGUAGAUGAAACGAUGGAGGGCCUUCACGGACAGCAACAUGGUAAAGGCCCAGAACAAGGAGCUGCUCUUUUGGAUUACUGUCUUUUCAGUCUGGCUUUAUAUGUUGUCUCAAGUUUUCUACUUCGCCUUUUGGUUGUGUAAGUGUCUCUGCUGUUGCAUGUUUUCUGGAAUAUCAUUGGCAAGAUUUUCAUCAGCCCAUGUUUUUGGCCUGGGUCUUUCAACUCCUACCGGAGAUUUUCAAAGCUCUUGUUCUCCAAUAUGCAUGGAGAUCAAGCAUUCUCAUGGUUCGUACAACACU